rnacentral:rRNA from 1 species
CCCUUAGAUGUUCUGGGCUGCACGCGCGCUACACUGACAUGUCCAGCGAGCUCCCAACCUGCUCGGCAAAGAAUGGGUACCCUUUUUAACGCAUGUCGUGAUGGGGAUAGAUUAUUGCAAUUGUUGAUCUUGAACGAGGAAUUCCUAGUAAGUGCAAGUCAUUAGCUUGUGCUGAAUACGUCCCUGCCCUUUGUACACACCGCCCGUCGCUCCUACCGAUUGAGUGCUCCGGUGAACAAUUUGGACUGCUUUGAUUCUAUUAGAAUUUGAAGCGGAAAGUUUAGUGAACCUUAUCACUUAGAGGAAGGAGAAGUCGUAACA